rnacentral:sRNA from 1 species
GCUGGAUGUGGUGGCGCAUGCCUGUAAUCCCAGCAGCUCUGGAGGCUGAGACAGGAGGAUCACAAGUUCAAAGCCAGCCUCAGCAAAAGCAAGGCGCUAAACAACUCAGUGAGACCUUGUCUCUA